GUUUGAUCCUGGCUCAGAGCGAACGUUAGCGGCAGGCUUAACACAUGCAAGUCGAGCGACAAAGGGGCUUCGGCCCUGAGUAGAGCGGCGGACGGGUGCGUAACACGUGGAUAAUCUGCCUCGUGGCGGGGGAUAACAGUCCGAAAGGACUGCUAAUACCGCAUGUCAGGUCGGAAACCCCGGUUUCUGACGAAAAAGAGGGCGCCCGCAAGGGGCUCUCACCACGAGAUGAGUCCGCGGCCCAUCAGCUAGUUGGCGGUGUAAUAGACCACCAAGGCUAAGACGGGUAGCUGGUCUGAGAGGAUGACCAGCCACACUGGGACUGAGACACGGCCCAGACUCCUACGGGAGCAGCAGUGGGGAAUAUUGGACAAUGGGCGAAAGCCUGAUCCAGCCAUGCCGCGUGAGUGAUGAAGGUCUUCGGAUCGUAAAGCUC
rnacentral:rRNA from 1 species